AUACGGAGGGGACUAGCGUUGUUCGGAAUUACUGGGCGUAAAGAGUUCGUAGGCGGACUGAUAAGUAAGAGGUGAAAUCCCAGGGCUCAACCCUGGAACUGCCUUUUAAACUGUCAGUCUAGAGACCGGAAGAGGUUAGGGGAAUACCUAGUGUAGAGGUGAAAUUCGUAGAUAUUAGGUGGAACACCAGUGGCGAAGGCGCCUAACUGGUCCGGUACUGACGCUGAGGAACGAAAGCGUGGGGAGCAAACAGAAUUAGAAACCCUAGUAGUCC
rnacentral:rRNA from 1 species